rnacentral:rRNA from 1 species
GACGAACGCUGGCGGCGUGCUUAACACAUGCAAGUCGAACGGAAAGGCCCCUUUGGGGGUACUCGAGUGGCGAACGGGGGAGUAACACGUGGGUAACCUGCCCUUUACUUCUGGAUAACUUCAGGAAACUGGGGCUAAUACCGGAUAGGAAUCCUUGCUGCAUGGGGGGGGUUGGAAAGCUUCGGCGGUUUUGGAUGGACUCGCGGCGUAUCAGCUUGUUGGUGGGGUAGUGGGUUACCAAGGCUUUGACGGGUAGCCGGCCUGAGAGGGCGAGCGGCGACAUUGGGACUGAGGGGCGGCCCAGACGCCGACGAGAGGCAGAUGUGGGGAAUAUUGAACCAGGGACGGCGGGCUGAUGCAGCAGCGCCGCGGGCGGGAUGACCGUCUUGGGGUUGUAGACAGCUAUCAGCAGGAGCGAAGCUUGUGGUGACGGUACCUGCAGAAGAAGCACCGGCUAACUACGUG